GACGAACGCUGGCGGCGUGCUUAACACAUGCAAGUCGAACGGAAAGGCCCUGCUUUUGUGGGGUGCUCGAGUGGCGAACGGGUGAGUAACACGUGAGUAACCUGCCCUUGACUUUGGGAUAACUUCAGGAAACUGGGGCUAAUACCGGAUAGGAGCUCCUGCUGCAUGGUGGGGGUUGGAAAGUUUCGGCGGUUGGGGAUGGACUCGCGGCUUAUCAGCUUGUUGGUGGGGUAGUGGCUUACCAAGGCUUUGACGGGUAGCCGGCCUGAGAGGGUGACCGGCCACAUUGGGACUGAGAUACGGCCCAGACUCCUACGGGAGGCAGCAGUGGAGAAUAUUGCACAAUGGGCGGAAGCCUGAUGCAGCAACGCCGCGUGCGGGAUGACGGCCUUCGGGUUGUAAACCGCUUUCGCCUGUGACGAAGCGUGAGUGACGGUAAUGGGUAAAGAAGCACCGGCUAACUACGUGCCAGCAGCCGCGGUGAUACGUAGGGUGCGAGCGUUGUCCGGAUUUAUUGGGCGUAAAGGGCUCGUAGGUGGUUGAUCGCGUCGGAAGUGUAAUCUUGGGGCUUAACCCUGAGCGUGCUUUCGAUACGGGUUGACUUGAGGAAGGUAGGGGAGAAUGGAAUUCCUGGUGGAGCGGUGGAAUGCGCAGAUAUCAGGAGGAACACCAGUGGCGAAGGCGGUUCUCUGGGCCUUUCCUGACGCUGAGGAGCGAAAGCGUGGGGAGCGAACAGGCUUAGAUACCCUGGUAGUCCACGCUGUAAACGGUGGGUACUAGGUGUGGGGUCCAUUCCACGGGUUCCGUGCCGUAGCUAACGCUUUAAGUACCCCGCCUGGGGAGUACGGCCGCAAGGCUAAAACUCAAAGGAAUUGACGGGGCCCCGCACAAGCGGCGGAGCAUGCGGAUUAAUUCGAUGCAACGCGUAGAACCUUACCUGGGUUUGACAUGGAUCGGGAGUGCUCAGAGAUGGGUGUGCCUCUUUUGGGGUCGGUUCACAGGUGGUGCAUGCCUGUCGUCAGCUCGUGUCGUGAGAUGUUGGGUUAAGUCCCGCAACGAGCGCAACCCUUGUUCACUGUUGCCAGCACGUUAUGGUGGGGACUCAGUGGAGACCGCCGGGGUCAACUCGGAGGAAGGUGGGGAUGACGUCAAGUCCUCAUGCCCCUUAUGUCCAGGGCUUCACGCAUGCUACAAUGGCUGGUACAGAGAGUGGCGAGCCUGUGAGGGUGAGCGAAUCUCGGAAAGCCGGUCUCAGUUCGGAUUGGGGUCUGCGACUCGACCUCAUGAAGUCGGAGUCGCUAGUAAUCGCAGAUCAGCAACGCUGCGGUGAAUACGUUCCCGGG
rnacentral:rRNA from 1 species